rnacentral:rRNA from 1 species
UUAAGUUAUUAAGGGCGCACGGUGGAUGCCUUGGCACUAGAAGCCGAUGAAGGACGUUACUAACGACGAUAUGCUUUGGGGAGCUGUAAGUAAGCUUUGAUCCAGAGAUUUCCGAAUGGGGAAACCCAGCAUGAGUUAUGUCAUGUUAUCGAUAUGUGAAUACAUAGCAUAUCAGAAGGCACACCCGGAGAACUGAAACAUCUUAGUACCCGGAGGAAGAAAAAGAAAAUUCGAUUCCCUUAGUAGCGGCGAGCGAAACGGGAAGAGCCCAAACCAACAAGCUUGCUUGUUGGGGUUGUAGGACACUCUAUACGGAGUUACAAAGGACGACAUUAGACGAAUCAUCUGGAAAGAUGAAUCAAAGAAGGUAAUAAUCCUGUAGUCGAAAAUGUUGUCUCUCUUGAGUGGAUCCUGAGUACGACGGAACACGUGAAAUUCCGUCGGAAUCUGGGAGGACCAUCUCCUAAGGCUAAAUACUCUCUAGUGACCGAUAGUGAACCAGUACCGUGAGGGAAAGGUGACCAGCACCCCGGAAGGGGAGUGAAAUAGAACCUGAAACCGUGUGCUUACAAGUAGUCAGAGCCCGUUAAUGGGUGAUGGCGUGCCUUUUGUAGAAUGAACCGGCGAGUUACGAUUUGAUGCAAGGUUAAGCAGUAAAUGUGGAGCCGUAGCGAAAGCGAGUCUGAAUAGGGCGUUUAGUAUUUGGUCGUAGACCCGAAACCAGGUGAUCUACCCUUGGUCAGGUUGAAGUUCAGGUAACACUGAAUGGAGGACCGAACCGACUUACGUUGAAAAGUGAGCGGAUGAACUGAGGGUAGCGGAGAAAUUCCAAUCGAACCUGGAGAUAGCUGGUUCUCUCCGAAAUAGCUUUAGGGCUAGCCUCAAGUGAUGAUUAUUGGAGGUAGAGCACUGUUUGGACGAGGGGCCCCUCUCGGGUUACCGAAUUCAGACAAACUCCGAAUGCCAAUUAAUUUAACUUGGGAGUCAGAACAUGGGUGAUAAGGUCCGUGUUCGAAAGGGAAACAGCCCAGACCACCAGCUAAGGUCCCAAAAUAUAUGUUAAGUGGAAAAGGAUGUGGCGUUGCCCAGACAACUAGGAUGUUGGCUUAGAAGCAGCCAUCAUUUAAAGAGUGCGUAAUAGCUCACUAGUCGAGUGACACUGCGCCGAAAAUGUACCGGGGCUAAACAUAUUACCGAAGCUGUGGAUUGUCCUUUGGACAAUGGUAGGAGAGCGUUCUAAGGGCGUUGAAGCAUGAUCGUAAGGACAUGUGGAGCGCUUAGAAGUGAGAAUGCCGGUGUGAGUAGCGAAAGACGGGUGAGAAUCCCGUCCACCGAUUGACUAAGGUUUCCAGAGGAAGGCUCGUCCGCUCUGGGUUAGUCGGGUCCUAAGCUGAGGCCGACAGGCGUAGGCGAUGGUUAACAGGUUGUUAUUCCUGUACCACCUAUAAUCGUUUUAAUCGAUGGGGGGACGCAGUAGGAUAGGCGAAGCGUGCGAUUGGAUUGCACGUCUAAGCAGUAAGGCUGAGUAUUAGGCAAAUCCGGUACUCGUUAAGGCUGAGCUGUGAUGGGGAGAAGACAUUGUGUCUUCGAGUCGUUGAUUUCACACUGCCGAGAAAAGCCUCUAGAUAGAAAAUAGGUGCCCGUACCGCAAACCGACACAGGUAGUCAAGAUGAGAAUUCUAAGGUGAGCGAGCGAACUCUCGUUAAGGAACUCGGCAAAAUGACCCCGUAACUUCGGGAGAAGGGGUGCUCUUUAGGGUUAACGCCCAGAAGAGCCGCAGUGAAUAGGCCCAAGCGACUGUUUAUCAAAAACACAGGUCUCUGCUAAACCGUAAGGUGAUGUAUAGGGGCUGACGCCUGCCCGGUGCUGGAAGGUUAAGAGGAGUGGUUAGCUUCUGCGAAGCUACGAAUCGAAGCCCCAGUAAACGGCGGCCGUAACUAUAACGGUCCUAAGGUAGCGAAAUUCCUUGUCGGGUAAGUUCCGACCCGCACGAAAGGCGUAACGAUUUGGGCACUGUCUCAACGAGAGACUCGGUGAAAUCAUAGUACCUGUGAAGAUGCAGGUUACCCGCGACAGGACGGAAAGACCCCGUGGAGCUUUACUGUAGCCUGAUAUUGAAAUUCGGCACAGCUUGUACAGGAUAGGUAGGAGCCUUUGAAACGUGAGCGCUAGCUUACGUGGAGGCGCUGGUGGGAUACUACCCUAGCUGUGUUGGCUUUCUAACCCGCACCACUUAUCGUGGUGGGAGACAGUGUCAGGCGGGCAGUUUGACUGGGGCGGGCGCCUCCUAAAAGGUAACGGAGGCGCUCAAAGGUUCCCUCAGAAUGGUUGGAAAUCAUUCAUAGAGUGUAAAGGCAUAAGGGAGCUUGACUGCGAGACCUACAAGUCGAGCAGGGUCGAAAGACGGACUUAGUGAUCCGGUGGUUCCGCAUGGAAGGGCCAUCGCUCAACGGAUAAAAGCUACCCCGGGGAUAACAGGCUUAUCUCCCCCAAGAGUUCACAUCGACGGGGAGGUUUGGCACCUCGAUGUCGGCUCAUCGCAUCCUGGGGCUGUAGUCGGUCCCAAGGGUUGGGCUGUUCGCCCAUUAAAGCGGUACGCGAGCUGGGUUCAGAACGUCGUGAGACAGUUCGGUCCCUAUCCGUCGUGGGCGUAGGAAAUUUGAGAGGAGCUGUCCUUAGUACGAGAGGACCGGGAUGGACAUACCUCUGGUGUACCAGUUGUCGUGCCAACGGCAUAGCUGGGUAGCUAUGUGUUGGACGGGAUAAGUGCUGAAAGCAUCUAAGCAUGAAGCCCCCCUCAAGAUGAGAUUUCCCAACUUCGGUUAUAAGAUCCCUCAAAGAUGAUGAGGUUAAUAGGUUCGAGGGGGAAGCAUGGUGACAUGUGGAGCUGACGAAUACUAAUCGAUCGAAGACUUAAUCAA